ACACUUGGUUCCACAUCCCAUAUAUUUGGCUAGGUUUAGGCAUGAGAAUGAGAGGAUAAGAUAAUAAAAAAUUUGAAAAAAAGAUAAAAAAAAGAGAAAGAAAAAUAAAAAGAAAGAGAGAGAAGAAAAUGAAAAGCAUGUGAUGCUUGUCCUAUAAUCAGAUUGUUCAUGUAUUGAAUAUCUAAUUUGAUUUUUAUAUG
rnacentral:lncRNA from 1 species